GAUGAAGAGCGUAGCGAAAUGCGAUAAGUAAUGUGAAUUGCAGAAUUCAGUGAAUCAUCGAAUCUUUGAACGCACAUUGCGCCCCUUGGUAUUCCGAGGGGCAUGCCUGUUCGAGCGUCAUUAUAACCCCUCAAGCUCAGCUUGGUGUUGGGGCCUGCUGCACUGGCAGCCCUUAAAAUCAGUGGCGGCGCCAUCUGGCUCUAAGCGUAGUAAUUCUUCUCGCUAUGGAGUCCUGGUGGAUGCUUGCCAUCAACCCCCAAUUUUUCUAUGGUUGACCUCGGAUCAGGUAGGGAUACCCGCUGAACUUAAGCAUAUCAAUAAGCGGAGGA
rnacentral:misc_RNA from 1 species